AUUGCCAUCACUUGGAUUUGUGUGCAGUUUAUGACCAUGGAGCCACUUUGUUUCUUAGAGAUUCCACGGGUCGCUGAGCCUUUUUAUCACAGUUUUAUUUUAGGAAGGGAGAGAACAGAGGCGAAUGUCUCCUGGGCUCAACUUUAGACAGCCAGCACCACACUGAACCUCAGCCUGUGCCCGGGAAUUCAAUGAAUCAGCGGCCCAGCCCCCUGCCAGGUUCCCAGAGAACAUCUCCGACAGGGACCACAGUGAGAAUCCUGACCCCACAGUCACCACCCAGGUGGCCUCUGGCCUCCCAUUCCGGGGAACAGAGGCUUCUCGCAUCAUUUUCUGUAACGCCCCAGGAAAUCCCCGGAGGAGGCGGGCUCCCCGCCGCCUCGCAGAGCCACUCCCACGGAGAUAACCGAUGAGCGCGCUCUUCAUCAUCACAGUUCCCAGCGCCCAGUGGCCGCCCUGGCUGCCAAAAAUCCUCUCUGAGCUCACUGCUGCCGAAGCCAGGCACAGCACUUCCUAGAAAAUCAUCAUUCCUUUUACUGUUUACUCUCGGGGCGGAUCACUGCUUCCCAUAAGCUCUUGCAGCCAGAAGCCUCUGCGCGGUGUGGGGUCGUCCCUCCCCAGCCCGUGGAUCCGGAGUGGUGGUGAGGCAUAGUGUGAGGGAAAAGAGAAGACUCACACCAGCGGAGUCCCUGCAGCUUGUGAGAAGUCGGCCCCCCUCAGAAGAUGCGCUCAGAUGUGGUGCUGAGAAAACAACUCGCUUCCUGCAGAGACUUCUGAAGUCCACACCCAGUCUACUGCUGCACAUUUUUGCAGCUGAAGGAGAAACUGCUGGAAACAAGAGUUUCCCUGAUGUCAUUGGGAUCAUAGGACUGUGUUCUCCCGGAGACAUCAGGGAGUUGGCUCAGGAAGGGCUGGGUGGGAAGUGAUGCAGCUCUGAACAAAGGCUCUGGGCUCUUCUUAAAGGGAGGUAAGGUGGGGCUUGGAACUGGCUGAACUUCCACCUGCCCUCAGUGGCAACGGAAGGUCUAGUCCUAAGACCGAGGGCAAACAGAGCAGAGAGUUCGAGAAAGGGUCAUGAGCAGGGCAGGUAGGGCCCUGUGAGAACUUCUGCAUUCUUCUUUUCUCCUCUCGCCCUACCCUUCUCGGAAAGAAGAAAUCUUUGUCCUCGUGGACUCAGGUUGGUGACUCUAAUUCCUGUUAUGAUGUCAUUUUGAGACAUCUAGAACACUAAAAGGAACUCUUAUUCCUUGCUCCCCUGGAGAAAUAGCUGGUUCCUCACCAGGACAGAAAAUGUCCAAGACAAGCCCGAGAUUUACCAUUAUAUCACAGAGUGGGAAAUUGUCUGAAACCAGCCUAGGAGCCAGCAAAGAUCCUGCUGGCCAAAGAUGGAGAGCUUUCCUCCUUUUGAGACACUGCCUCAUCUCAUAGCCCAGGUUGGACACCCAGAUGCUCAAAGAUGGGGAAUUUUUAACAUCAAAAAAAGAAUACUAACUUCAAUGUAUGGAGAGGUGGUGAUUCAGAAACUAGUGAGUUCACAUUGAUAAGAAGAGACCCCCUAAUUGGUCACAACUAGAGAUUGCUUGGGUACUGAUUUCUCUGAAAACUAACAGAAAUAAGAAUAUGCAGACAUCCCACCAUUACUAUGUGAACUUUAUUGCAGAGUAACCUAGAGUGCUAAGACUGAGUUCCUCUUUAUGUAAGAAUUCCCCCUAAUAAAGAGGAUAAUUUGAGACCAGCCUGGGCUGCAAACUGAGCUCAAAAUUUGAGGCGAGCCUGAACUGCAUAAUAAGAACUUGUCUCAAAAAAAACCACAAUAAAUAAAUAAAGAGGAAAAGUAGAAACUUAAGAUUUUGCAACCCGCAAUAAAAUAAUGGAUUUGGACAUGAUCAUCAAUAUAUGCUAAAACUGGUGAGAUGUUGACAGAGACCUUUGUACUGAGAAUUGAACCAAAGGCCUUUGCUCUGGGCUGUUCCUAUUUUAUUAUGAGGCAGAUUCUUACUAAGUUACCCAGAUUGGGCUUAAAUUUAUGAUCUUUCUACCUCAGCUAUCCAGAGUGCUGGUGUGCGCCACCAUAACAGGAUUAAGAACAUUAAAACAGGAAAUAUACAGCAAUCUUAACCAGAUACACUGACACAUGCCUGUACUUCCAGCCACUCAAGAGGCUGAGGCAGGAGGAUGCUUUGAACCAGGAGUUCAGGAUCAGUUUGGGCAAUAUUGAGAUUGCCAUUUUUUUCUCCUGUCUUUUACAGACGGGGUUUCAUUACAUAGCCCAGACUGGCCUCAAACUCAUGGUGAUUCUCUUGCCUCAGCCUCCCAAGUGCUGGGAUAACAGGCUUGCCCCACCAUGCCCAGCCUGACCCUUAUCUUUUAAAAAGUAAAAACAAAAAACCCUCCACAACAGCAAACUCUAUGCAAUAUUCUUUAUAUAUAAAAAAAUUUAGAACAGGACUGUGAGUAUAGCUUGGUUAGAAUAUUUGUCUGUCAUCCAUGAGGACCAUGUUUGUUCAGUCCCCAGAACUACCAAAAAUCAGACCAGACAGACUCUAAUUAAGCUCUAGAUUUGCACUGUCCAAUGUGGUUGCCACAUGUGGGCCCUGGACACUGGAAAUGUGAAUAUUCUGAAUGUGCUGUAAGCAUAAAACACAUUUGAUUUUGAAGAAUAAAAAAAGAAUGUAAAAUACCUCAUAAUUUUUAUGUUAAUCACAUUUUGAAACAACAUAUAGCAUUUUGACUAUUUUACACUGAAUAAAAUACAGUAUUAAAAAUAAUUUCAUCGAUGGGCAUGUCGGUGCACACCUAUAAUCCCAGCGCUUGGGAGGCUGGGGCUGGAGGAUCACUAAAAGUUCAAGGCUAGCCUGGGCUACGUAGGUAAGUUCAAGGUCAGCCCAAACUAUAUAGUGAGACUCUGUCUCAAAGAAUAAUAGUAAUAAUAAUAACUUCACCUACUUAUUUUGACUUUUUAAAUGUGGCUACUAGAGGGUUUAAAACUAAAUAUGUGGCUAAAAUUCUCUUUCCACUGGGUAGCACUGCCCUAGAUCAAACUUCAGGUCUGCAGGGAAUUGUCUGUAGUGGAACACAUUAAAAAACACCAAAAGGAGACAUGUCCAGAACAAGGGGAAUUCUACCCCACCAAUGGCUUCCUUUCCACAACAAAUUAAUCAUUUUAGAACAAAUAGGGAAGAGGAGUAGCUUUAGAUUAAAAUUGAUAUAACAACCAGGUGCACUAUAUAAACCUUAUUUGUUUACUAAACAAAAGGAGAGUUGGAAAUGAUCUGGGAAGUUUGAACACUGGGACAGGGUAUUAGAUCAUAUUAAGAGUUUAUUGUGUAUUUUGUUAGAGAAUGAUUGCGUUGUUGCUAAGGUGCUUUUUUAUAAAGUGAUUAUCCAUCAGGAGCAUGUAACUGAGUAUUUGUGGGUGAAAUUCUAUGGCCACUGGCAUUUGCUUUAAAAUGCUUGGAGUAAACAUAUGUAGUAGAUGAAUGACUGGGGAUUUAGCUCAGUGGCAUAGGUGCUGGCCUAGCAAGUGUGAGGUUGUGAGUUUGAUCCCCCGUACCAAAAAAAAAAAAAAAAAAAAAAGUGGUAGAUAAAUUAAACCAGACUGAUAAAAUAUUGAUUGUUGGUAAAAUUAGGUGAUGGGGCUGUGGGAGUUCAUUAUAUAUUUUUCUAUUUUUCACUUGUUGAAAAGUUGUAGAAUUUUGGCCAGGCAUGGUGGGGCAUACCUGUAAUCCCAGCACUCGGGGCUGAAGCAGGAAGUUCACUGGGAGUUUGAGAUCAACGUGAGCUACAAAGUGAGUUCUAGGGCAGCUUGACCUGCGUAGUAAAACCCUGUCUCCAAAAGACAGAAAAAAAAAAAGACCCAAAAAGUUAUAGAAUUUAAUUAAUAUAAAUAUUUUGUAUGAUAUUUAAUUAAUAAAAUAUAUAUUAAGUUUAACAAAUAUAAGUGUAUUAAAUUUAACUAAUAUAAAUAUGACAUUUGUUUACAUAUAUUUCACAUAAUAAUAAACUACAGUGAAUUUUGAUGCCUCUAGAA